AGCAUGCAAGUCAAACGGGAUGUAGCAAUAUAUCUAGUGGCGAACGGGUGAGUAACGCGUGGAUGAUCUACCUACGAGAUGGGGAUAACUAUUAGAAAUAGUAGCUAAUACCGAAUAAAGUCAAUUAAUUUGUUAAUUGAUGAAAGGAAGCCUUUAAAGCUUCGCUUGUAGAUGAGUCUGCGUCUUAUUAGCUAGUUGGUAGGGUAAAUGCCUACCAAGGCGAUGAUAAGUAACCGGCCUGAGAGGGUGAACGGUCACACUGGAACUGAGAUACGGUCCAGACUCCUACGGGAGGCAGCAGCUAAGAAUCUUCCGCAAUGGGCGAAAGCCUGACGGAGCGACACUGCGUGAAUGAAGAAGGUCGAAAGAUUGUAAAAUUCUUUUAUAAAUGAGGAAUAAGCUUUGUAGGAAAUGACGAAGUGAUGACGUUAAUUUAUGAAUAAGCCCCGGCUAAUUACGUGCCAGCAGCCGCGGUAAUACG
rnacentral:rRNA from 1 species